rnacentral:rRNA from 1 species
AGGAUGAACGCUGGCGGCGUGCCUAACACAUGCAAGUCGAACGUCCUGCCUCGCAAGAGGCAGGGAGUGGCGGACGAGUGAGUACCACGUGGGUUAUCUACCGUGAGGUGAGGAAUACCGGCGAGAAAUCGCCGACAAGACCGCAUAGCCUCGGUGCAAGCCGAGGAAAGCUUUCUCGAGAGAGGGAGCGCCACACGAGGAGCCUGCGCCCGAUUAGCUAGCUGGUGGAGUAACGGUUCACCAGGGCGACGAUCGGUAGCUGGUCUGAGAGGACGAUCAGCCACACUGGGAUUGAGAACGGCCCAGACUCCUACGGGGGGCAGCAGUGAGGAAUUUUCGUCAAUGGGGGCAACCCUGAACGAGCAACGCCGCGUGCAGGAAGAAGGUUUUCGGAUCGUAAACUGCUUUUCUCGGGGAAGAGAACGGACGGUACCCGAGGAAUCAGCCCCGGCUAACUACGUGCCAGCAGCCGCGGUAA